rnacentral:tRNA from 1 species
GGCCGCCUGGCGAAAUGGUAUCGCGUCUGACUACGAUAUCGUUAUCAGGAGAUUGCAGGUUCGAGCCCUGCGGUGGUCA